rnacentral:rRNA from 1 species
GAACGGGUGAGUAACACGUGGGCAAUCUGCCCUUCACUCUGGGACAAGCCCUGGAAACGGGGUCUAAUACCGGAUACGACACGGGGUCGCAUGACCUCCGUGUGGAAAGCUCCGGCGGUGAAGGAUGAGCCCGCGGCCUAUCAGCUUGUUGGUGGGGUGAUGGCCUACCAAGGCGACGACGGGUAGCCGGCCUGAGAGGGCGACCGGCCACACUGGGACUGAGACACGGCCCAGACUCCUACGGGAGGCAGCAGUGGGGAAUAUUGCACAAUGGGCGAAAGCCUGAUGCAGCGACGCCGCGUGAGGGAUGACGGCCUUCGGGUUGUAAACCUCUUUCAGCAGGGAAGAAGCGAAAGUGACGGUACCUGCAGAAGAAGCGCCGGCUAACUACGUGCCAGCAGCCGCGGUAAUACGUAGGGCGCAAGCGUUGUCCGGAAUUAUUGGGCGUAAAGAGCUCGUAGGCGGCUUGUCACGUCGGAUGUGAAAGCCCGGGGCUUAACCCCGGGUCUGCAUUCGAUACGGGCAGGCUAGAGUUCGGUAGGGGAGAUCGGAAUUCCUGGUGUAGCGGUGAAAUGCGCAGAUAUCAGGAGGAACACCGGUGGCGAAGGCGGAUCUCUGGGCCGAUACUGACNCUGAGGAGCGAAA